GCAUUUGAAAAUCAUUACUGGCACAUAGAUUGGUAGAAAUGGUCAGAUAAAUUGGCACUCCAACUGGAAAAGGUUACAGACUGCUGGUGUAGUCUAUUACUAGUCUAUCUAUCUAUAGUUUAUUAGUCUAUUACUGAACAUUUCAGGAGCAAAACGGCAGAAUUUACGAAGUCCAGCAGCAGAGGGGGGGGGGGCUCCCUCUGGUCAGGUUGUGUGUUGACGACCGGCUCCCUCUGGUCAGGUUGUGUGUUGACGACCGGCUCCCUCUGGUCAGGUUGUGUGUUGACGACCGGCUCCCUCUGGCCAGGUUGUGUGUUGACGACCGGCUCCCUCUGGCCAGGUUGUGUGUUGACGACCGGCUCCCUCUGGCCAGGUUGUGUGUUGACGACCGGCUCCCUCUGGUCAGGUUGUGUGUUGACGACCGGCUCCCUCUGGUCAGGUUGUGUGUUGACGACCGGCUCCCUCUGGUCAGGUUGUGUGUUGACGACCGGCUCCCUCUGGUCAGGUUGUGUGUUGACGACCGGCUCCCUCUGGUCAGGUUGUGUGUUGACGACCGGCUCCCUCUGGCCAGGUUGUGUGUUGACGACCGGCUCCCUCUGGCCAGGUUGUGUGUUGACGACCGGCUCCCUCUGGUCAGGUUGUGUGUUGACGACCGGCUCCCUCUGGUCAGGUUGUGUGUUGACGACCGGCUCCCUCUGGUCAGGUUGUGUGUUGACGACCGGCUCCCUCUGGUCAGGUUGUGUGUUGACGACCGGCUCCCUCUGGUCAGGUUGUGUGUUGACGACCGGCUCCCUCUGGUCAGGUUGUGUGUUGACGACCGGCUCCCUCUGGUCAGGUUGUCUUGACGACCGGCUCCCUCUGGUCAGGUUGUCUUGACGACCGGCUCCCUCUGGUCAGGUUGUCUUGACGACCGGCUCCCUCUGGUCAGGUUGUCUUGACGACCGGCUCCCUCUGGUCAGGUUGUCUUGACGACCGGCUCCCUCUGGUCAGGUUGUCUUGACGACCGGCUCCCUCUGGUCAGGUUGUCUUGACGACCGGCUCCCUCUGGUCAGGUUGUCUUGACGACCGGCUCCCUCUGGUCAGGUUGUCUUGACGACCGGCUCCCUCUGGUCAGGUUGUCUUGACGACCGGCUCCCUCUGGUCAGGUUGUCUUGACGACCGGCUCCCUCUGGUCAGGUUGUCUUGACGACCGGCUCCCUCUGGUCAGGUUGUCUUGACGACCGGCUCCCUCUGGUCAGGUUGUCUUGACGACCGGCUCCCUCUGGUCAGGUUGUGUUGUAGUGAUUGUGAUUAAUGACAAACCAUUUUUUACAAAUCCGCCAAGGCACCAACUUUGAGAAUGGUUUAAAACAAAGGUUUCAAACCAAUUCAUGAAUGUAAUUGAAUCUAGGUAUGUCUUGCCUUUAAUGUAAGGGCACAAUUUUUUUUUUUGACCCACACAGGAAAUCUACACUGGCAAUUCUA